GAUGAAGAACGCAGCGAAAUGCGAUAAGUAAUGCGAAUUGCAGAAUUCCGUGAGUCAUCGAAUCUUUGAACGCACAUUGCGCCCUCUGGUAUUCCGGGGGGCAUGCCUGUCCGAGCGUCAUUGCAACCCUCAAGCGCGGCUUGUGUGUUGGGCUUCGUCCCCCCGUGGACGUGCCCGAAAGGCAGUGGCGGCGUCCCGAAUGGUGCCCGAGCGUAUGGGAACUCUCUUCCGCUCGAACCGGCCCAUUCGGCGCUGGUCGAACCCCAAUUUUUUUUUACCGGUUGACCUCGGAUCAGGUAGGGAUACCCGCUGAACUUAAGCAUAUCAAUAAGCGGAGGA
rnacentral:misc_RNA from 1 species